ensembl:lncRNA
CAAUCAUCCAGCGACGAGAGGAUCUGUGUUCCAGCCUCAAAUAGUGCUCCCGGUGAUGAUGGACUGCUGUGCCCCUCUGCUCAUAUAAAAACCUCCUGAACGACUGCAGAUAGAACCACUCCUUACAGCUAACUGAAGGUCACAGACCUUCCACCUGAGCAGUUUCAGGACAAACAAAGCAGUGAAGGUGGAAAAGUUUGACAUUUUUAAAAGACUUUUUAAAGAUGAAGUUGGUGCCCUGCCUCAUGCUGUAUGUCCUGCUGGCAGCUGGAACCAGUCUGGCUGUGGAUGUGAAUUGGUUAACUCGUAUUAUAAAAGCCAUAAGGACAGAGUACAGAGUAACAGGUCACUUCUGUCUGGCUGCAACCAUCCCAGAUCAACAGGACCCAAACACCCUUAUCAGUGAAGUCCUUCAUAAAGACCGCUUUAAUAAUGAGCACAUGGGAGACUUAGUUAAAGGGGGUGAGGUAUAUGUUGGCAGAAGGCUGGUUUUAGCUGUUCCCACAGGACCUGUACAUGCAGAAGGCAAAGUUCUGAAAAGCUUGGACAAACUAAAGAAACAGGGAGAGAACAACUUCCUCCUCAUCUACUCUUACCUCUCCCCAUGUAGCAAGUGCACAGACUAUAACAGUAAAUUCAACAUCCUUAACAUGAUUAAAAAACAGGUUGACAGAUGGCAUAAUGCGGCCUUUGUAUUUACAAAAGUUUUCAACAAGCCCAAAUAUGGUUCCAGAGUACCCAGAUAUGUUUUAAAAAUGUCACUGACUCAGCUUUCUAAUUCGAUGGGUGGUCUCCAGUACAUAUUUCGCUGUAAUGGACCGAGCAAUUCUGAGUUAGUGUGUCACAGCUGCUCUGUAAAUCACAGAGUUUCAGAGUUUUGUAUUAAUAACAACGCUGAGAGAGAGCGCAGCAUCAGCAGGGAAAGAAGCAGGAGCUUCAGUGGAAGCAGAGGAGGGGGCAGUAGCAGGAAGAGAGAGAUGUACAGGAGUCAGAGUGAGAGCAGCAUCAGCAGCGGAAACAGUAGAGAAGCUGGAAAACAUGCAGGUGGAGGCAGGAGCAGCAGGAAGAGAAGCAGGAGCAGCAGCAGCAGCAGCAGCAGCAGCAGCAGCAGCAGUAGCAGCAGCAGCAGCAGCAGCAGCAGCAGCAGUAGUAGCAGCAGAGGUUAGAGGAGUUCAAACAAAGCAACAUGGUCCCUGAAGACAAACUUUCUUUAAAUUUCUGUUCAAACUAAAAUGAUAAAUAAAUGUUUUUUCUGAAAAAGCUUCAAAUCUGC